GUGCUCACCUCAGCAGCACAUAUACUAAAAUUGGAACGAUACAGAGAAGAUUAGCAAUUCUCUUUAAAAUAAAUAAAAAAUUUUA
rfam:Pan troglodytes isolate Yerkes chimp pedigree #C0471 (Clint) chromosome 3, whole genome shotgun sequence.